rnacentral:lncRNA from 1 species
UGGUUGGGAAGCCAAGGUCGUCUUUUAUAUAUUUAAAAAUUUGUAUUACAUUCUUUGAAAUAUAUGCAAAAAUACGUCCACACUGUAUGGAAAAAUGAGAAAAAAAUAUAAGAAAAAAGUCUGAAAGUUAUAGAUGAAAAUAUUACAUAAAGAUAUAUUUACAUAUACACAAAUUGAGAGUGGACAGCUGCUAUAAUAAUACCUAGGUGAUAUUCCAACAAAAAUAAUCACAGAUUGUUGUUUAGCCCGAGUUUCUAAAAACAUUCACUUUUGAAAAUCAAUGUUCACUACUGCUGAAAUGGGGCACUCCAUGUCAGAUUUUCAAAGUCCAUACAGAUUUGCGUAACAUAGUCUCCUUGGAAUUAUGAUUAAAACUGUGAGAACUGAAGUCAGUCAAAAACACAGUACCAAGUAACCACUAACAAGAGGUCACCUUCAUGUUUUAGAGCAAAGCACCGGAAGCACUCAGGAGCACCUUGGAAAUCCACAUGGAAGGCAAUCCAAACUUCCUGGAAUGUAUGGCCACCACCACACGAGGCACACAUAUUAUUUUACAAUCACUGGAUUUACAAGUAUUGGGGGAGAAAAUAAAUACAAAAUGCAACUGAGACCAAUCCACAUACCAAGACUCAGUUUUGUGCAAAUGAAACCUCUGUAGAAAGCAGCCUCUGAGCUCUGCGGCACUUUUGUCUUCAGCCUCACGGUGGAGAUAAGUGCAGCCCCGGCUCCUGGGAGGGAGGCACUGCCACUGAGUAGCCUCCAUCUGAAAGGAAGCAGGAGCUCUGGGCACAAUGGUUAAAGAUGUGGAUCAAAUGCACAAGAAGGACAAAGGCCAUCUUGUCACUGACCAGGAAAACAUCCUCCGUCUUGGGCACUCUUGUCACAUCUGACAAUUAUCAGGUUAUCAGUCGUGGGCUCCUACCCAGAUUAGGUCCAAUGCGGCCAGGAAAAAGCUUAGGUUCUGGCAGUCGACGGCCAUGAGCAAGGGUGGACGUGGAAAAUGCAAUGAGGAAAACGUAUCCAAGUCUUCAAAGGUAGGGAAAGAGAGUGUAACUGAUCUAUGAAACGCAGCCAGGUAAAGGGAAGAACAUUCCAACCAAGAUUAUCAAGACAUUUCCUCCUUCACAGACUCAAAAGAAUCAAGACUCUUCUUUGAUUGGAGGCACUCAUGUGGGGCGAUUCUGCCUCGAUGUGGCGGUUGCUCCCCAUCACUGGACUUUUCCAGCUCCCUCUCCGAGAAUCCGGUGCAUGCCACUCGGAACAAAUACUCUCAUCUCCAUAAGGUGCCCUCUCCUGCGCAUAGUGGAGAGGUUUUAUAACGUGAGGGUGAAACCUUUCAAAGUGGAAACCUGUGAUUUCUUUCUAUUUGGACAAUCAAAAGGACUUUAAGACCUUUUCUGCUUUGGGUAAAUCAACGAUCUGCACAAGACACAUUUUACAGAACAAAGGACAAGAGAGUCCUCAUUCACAUCCUGGUCAUGUCACUCCUGGGGACUCCGCAUUGCAACCUCCACCUCCUGGGCCC